rnacentral:rRNA from 1 species
CAGCCGCCGCGGUAAUACGAAGGGGGCUAGCGUUGCUCGGAAUCACUGGGCGUAAAGGGUGCGUAGGCGGGUCUUUAAGUCAGAGGUGAAAUCCUGGAGUUCAACUCCAGAACUGCCUUUGAUACUGAAAGUCUUGAGUAUGGGAGAGGUGAGUGGAACUGCGAGUGUAGAGGUGAAAUUCGUAGAUAUUCGCAAGAACACCAGUGGCGAAGGCGGCUCACUGGUCCGGUUCUGACGCUGAGGCACGAAAGCGUGGGGAGCAAACAGGAUUAGAUACCCCCGUAGUCCCUGUCUCUUAUAC